CCCAAUACAACCAUCUAACGUUUACCUUGCCAGCCUGGAUAGAGUUUUCUUUACAUGUGUGUAAAGCCGUACGUCACCAGACCAGGCUCCUUCCAGACUGUGUUUUUGUUGGGUACGCUAGCACAAUUUUCAUUUUUGGCUGAAUUAUCCCUUUAAUCCAUAAAAACAAUCACCACAUAGAUUGUGAACUUGGAAACUUCUCCACUUCAGAAAACUUGACUAUUUUACUCUGCCCAAUGAGAAGUGGAUGCUGUUGCUGAGAUAUUGUUGCCUGGAUACCAUUGUUUCCACGUGUGGCCUGUAUCUUUCUGUGCUCAGAUGAGAGCUCUACAAUAGCGUGAUGUGAAGUUUUGGCCAAUCAGCACACAGGAUGAGCAGAGGAACGCUUGCAUAAGAGAAUAAGUCUUAUCUGGUGAGGUUUGCCGUAGAGGGACUUUAGGCCUAUAAAGCUUUGUAAAUCCUGUCCUGGUGAAGCUCUGUGCGGCCUGAAGCUGGAACUCCGGAUGGGAUAAAAGAGUCAACUGUACCGGAUGUUCACUGAUGCUGAAGGAAAUUGAUGAGUCAUCCUGCUGGACCUCUACCGCAGCUGACAUCCAUGUCUCAUA